AAAGUGUCAUAUGCCACUGCCAUGGAUUGGUUCAUAGCUGUUUGCUUUGCUUUC
rfam:Macaca mulatta chromosome 6, whole genome shotgun sequence.